rnacentral:rRNA from 1 species
UACGAAGGGGGCUAGCGUUGCUCGGAAUCACUGGGCGUAAAGCGCGUGUAGGCGGCCCGGUAAGUCCGCUGUGAAAGUCGGGGGCUCAACCCUCGAAAGCCGGUGGAUACUGUCGGGCUCGAGUACGGAAGAGGCGAGUGGAAUUCCUGGUGUAGCGGUGAAAUGCGCAGAUAUCAGGAGGAACACCAAUUGCGAAGGCAGCUCGCUGGGACGUUACUGACGCUGAGACGCGAAAGCGUGGGGAGCAAACAGG